UGGCUCAGAUUGAACGCUGGCGGCAGGCCUAACACAUGCAAGUCGAGCGGUAGAGAGAAGCUUGCUUCUCUUGAGAGCGGCGGACGGGUGAGUAAUGCCUAGGAAUCUGCCUGGUAGUGGGGGAUAACGUUCGGAAACGGACGCUAAUACCGCAUACGUCCUACGGGAGAAAGCAGGGGACCUUCGGGCCUUGCGCUAUCAGAUGAGCCUAGGUCGGAUUAGCUAGUUGGUGGGGUAAUGGCUCACCAAGGCGACGAUCCGUAACUGGUCUGAGAGGAUGAUCAGUCACACUGGAACUGAGACACGGUCCAGACUCCUACGGGAGGCAGCAGUGGGGAAUAUUGGACAAUGGGCGAAAGCCUGAUCCAGCCAUGCCGCGUGUGUGAAGAAGGUCUUCGGAUUGUAAA
rnacentral:rRNA from 1 species